ACCACCAGUGUCUACUCCUGUAAAUAAUCGAAAGGAAUAUAAUAGGAAGUAAUCAGACUUCUCCACAAAUGCUGAGCUCCUGGGAAUGAACUAGACCAUUGCAUCUUCAUCUUAGCAUCAUCAGAGCCUUGAAGUUCAGUGCAACAGAAAGUGACAUGGUGGUAAUCCUGGAGCUAGCAAUGACAUCUUUGGGUGCCACUCAGCCUGCCGCAGGACACCGGCUCAUCCCUGUGGUGACCAGCUUUGGAAAUCAAGAAGGAACAGGGACAGGGUGUAUGGUUUGACCUCAGCUCCCUGUUCACCUCUCUCCAGGACAAAUGCCAGAUUUUCUUGAAGAGAUCAGAAGUGGAAAGGGUGAUGGAACACUCCAUCUCAGAGAUGAUCCAGUGAAGACAUGAGAAGCACCUAGCUCAGUGGUCUGAUCAAAGUGGGUGAUGAGCUUGUCAUUAUGUUGGCCUUUGCCUCUGUGCAGAUAUAGCUGGUAACACAUGUUUCAAAGCCUCUUCCUAGCAGAGUCGAAAGCCAGGGUCUGGCCGAUGACUGAGCUUCAGGAAUGGCCUUUAUAAAAAAAAAAUGGCUUUGCUUUGUUCUCCUUCCAUGCGUUCGAUCCAGUUCAUCAACCAUAACAAGCUACGCAAAUGCAGACCAGUGUGACUUUAAGUUGUUUGCUGUCCUGCUGGCACAUCAUGUGGCUUUCCACUGAGAUGCAAGGAGGGGUUCCGAGAGUAAGCUGCUGCACCACUCCCUUCUCGGAAAGGGAUGCCAGACCAUCAGCAGAGCUAAGGAGGCUGGAGAAAGGCUGUAUAUCCUAUGCAUGUGUGUGAAUUGGGAAACUCCUCUGUAACCACAGGCUGACCAACAUCAGUUUAAUUGCUUCCAAGCACAAAAACAUCCAAAGCCGCUUCUUUGAUCUAAAAUUGUUUCUCAAGUCCCACAAAGUAAAUGGUGGAUAACAUUGCCUGUCAACAGUGCCAGAUACUGCAGCUGUCAAAUAAUCACCCGCUCUGUUCAAAUGUUACAGAUUCUCCUAUAACCUGGUCACCAUGAAGAACAUCGACGGUGAUGGUGAGAUGACCAAAGGGAAGACCACCUGCCAGAGUUGCAGAUGAAGGAUAGGUUGAAGGGUCUUUAGAGAAGCAGGAACUUCAUCAUUCAUUAUUUUCUGAGUUCCCUGAAGAUCUGUGAGGUUGUUACCAUCACACCCAGUCUUCAAGCAGAGAAAACUAAGAACAAGGAACAUGAGAGAAAUUGCUGAAGAUACAACAGUUCUAAGAGGAUUUAUCCAGGAUACCAACCGGCCCCACCCCUGUCAGGCAUGCUCAUCAACACGCUGUCUUGGCUCUCUCUCUCUUACUCCUUAACCACCUUGUGGACUGGAGCCAUAGCUUGCAUUUGGGAGUUUUUUUUUCUAGAGGGCAGAGCUCUCCUGAGACUUUCCUUGGGGGAUGGGAUUUUAGUCGAGCCAGGUCAGCUUCUAGCACUUGACUGGCCUGAGUAUCUGGGUGUCAGUUGCUGGCAUCUCUGCCCUGCACUUCUCUAGCAUUUGAGCUGUGGAGAGCUCCAGCUCACAGUUGACUAACCAUGUACUGGCCCAGACUUGAGACAAGAGUCUACUAUAUUGUUAGGAUGGGGAAGGGUCUACCACAGUUUAUUCUUCAACACCUACUUUGUUCAAAAUUAUGAUAAAUCUCAUUGUCUGCAACAUUAUAAAGAAGACUGAUUAUCACCAGGCAUUAGUAUGUUAAUCAGCCUAUAAAUCUGAAACUUAAAGCCAUAAGAUUGGAUUUUUUUCAUGAGGACAGUGAAAGUAUACUGUAAAUUUAUACAUUAUUUUUACCUUCCCCUAUAACUAAAGGCUUCGUGUGUACAAUGAAUGUGUAGAAUUACCCAAAAGGGGGGACAUAAAAGAAAACUAAAUAUCAGAAGUGAGGCACAUAUGAAGAGUUUCCUGGAAGAGACUUCAGAUAGAGGAAAGUUACCUGGAUGGACUGCUAGAGAUUCCCAAAUAGGCACAUGAACAGAGUGAAUCUAGGGAAGCAAUCAUUCCAGUGAGUCACUCCAGGGAACCAAACACCAGCUCCUAUGCCUUCACUUUCCGCAUUGUAAUCCAAGGUGCCCGUAACCACACAGCUGUCAUACAAAGAAAGGAAAGCCAGAUCAAUGACUGCACGUUGCUUACACAGAAAGUGAAAAAGGAAACUAGAAUAUAGGGAUGAUGCCCAGUGGUAGAAGACUUGCCUAUCAUGCUGAUGUCUUCUUUUCAAACCCUUGGACCAGAAUAUUAAUUAAUUAAUUAGUGAACGUAUUAACUAGUUAAAGUGACAAGUAAGAAGAUAAAGUAAUUAUGAAAAAGAAGGAACACUGGAAAGAAAAUUACAACACAACAGACAAAUUAAAUAAGUCUAGAGCUAGUUACUUGAAAACAUUGCUAAAACUGAUAAAGCCCUACCCAGACAAUCAAAAACUAAAACAAAAAAGAGAAGGUAUUGUUUACUAAUAAAGAUGGUUAUGGAAGAAGAAUCAGGGUGAAUUAAAAGCACAAGGACAUUAAAGCACAAGGGAAUUCAGUGAAAAUAGCAUGUUAAUACAUUAAACGGUCUGCAUACAUUGGACAAGUUCAUGUCAGGAAGGAACCAUCAAAAUUAACACAGAAAGAAACACAUAAAAUGAUAUUUAAAGCUACUAAAGAAAUUGAAUUUCAGUUAAAAAUUUCCCCCAAAGAAAGUGCCAACCCCAAAUUACUCUACUGCUAAAGUUAUAGCAAGCAUAGAAAAAAUAAUGAUGAGUUACUAAUACCACAAAUAAACUAUGAUCGGUUCUUGUCAUAUGCAC
ensembl:lincRNA Gm10415 predicted gene 10415